AUCCUUUGGUUCACAAGCAUGACGACUAGGCAUUCACGCUGUUGUGUGAGAUGGGCCAUGACUUCAGCACAUCACCCGUCUGAGA
rnacentral:snoRNA from 1 species